AUCCAACUGACGAGUUUCAAAUAGGACGAACUGACGCACGUCCUGGAU
rnacentral:hammerhead_ribozyme from 1 species